UAUCUUCUUGGGCAAUAUAAACAACUCAUUUUAUAACUAGCCAAGUUAGCUAAAAUGGUUUUAUUUAGUAUCAUCUUACUAGAUUGAGCUAAAAUUUUCCUAUCCAGCCUUGUAUUUUUUGUUCCGUUUUUUCUAUUAUACUUUCAGAAAAUUUUAUUAUGGUUUUAUCUACGAAUAGAGGUGUUCCUAGAUAAGAAUCUUUUAGGUCAAUGUGUUUGAUUCUACAAACAGAGGUCUUCUCCUCCGUUAUGAUCGAAGCUUUUGGCAGAUUUCCACCAAAAUUAGUUUCUUUAUUUCAUUGAUUUGUUUUUCAAUCGUAUCAUUCAGUCAUAUAAAAGUUGAAGAGAGAAUUGUUGAGUUUUCUUCCUCUUCGGAGUUUAUACGACUGAGUACUACGAAACCCUGACCCUGAAUCACCGAACUACACGCACAAUUUUACCUGUUUCUUUACCUUCUCAACCCAUAGCUGUUCAGACUUAGCCGUAUAAGGAACCUGAUUUUCGUUCUACCUUCUAAAACCCUACUUCCAUUUUGUUUUUUCUCUAUAGAAGUUGAAGGUGUUUAUUGGCAAUUGAUGGUGUCCUGACUCUUACAAGGCAUGAAAAUCCUGCGGAGCUUGGUGGGAAGAUGAUAGCUAUGGCUCUCUUAGGAAAAUGGUCCCUGAUGGAGUCAACAGAGUAACAUGAGCAUUGGUCCAGAGGCUGCUAUUGAAGCAGAGGCAAUCAAAUCGGUUGAAGCUGGCUCCGGUCAGAAAUGAUGUGACUUGAGUCACUUCCUGAAGGACUACCUGGUGUAGAUGUUUUGGGAGUAUUUUCUUGAGGUACUGGCUUCCUUGUUGGCUUCUUAAUGCUCCAUUUUUGCGGCUAUGCAAUCUACAGCGACAGGAAAUGAGAAGCUAAACAACUAUUGGGAAGCAGAACUAUCCCAAGCAAAUGUUCAGGAAUCUGCACAAUGGACAAGGAUAUUGGGAUCCAGCAGCACCUUCUUCAUUUGGUCUUUGCUUUUUGAGUCACAUAUGUUGAUAGAGCAAAGCCGCAAAAUAAUGAAGAUUAUGAUUGCAUGAUUGAUGGAUGUAAGUGCGAUGUUAUGCGAGAGAGAUGGAGUACUUGGAGAUGUCUCAAGCUGUGACAUGAUUAAGUGGUCAAAAGCUUAUUUAACUCGAAGAGCGACCAACCAAAUUAGACUGGCAGGGUGACAACAGACAGAAUUCAGUUUUAAUGUUCGAUAUGUAAGGUUGCUAGUAUUUAUCUUUCCAUUUGUAUUCAGAGAUUCUAUUUCUUUAAAAAAAAUAAUUAAUGAAGUU